rnacentral:rRNA from 1 species
UAACUCUGUCUCUGUAUAUACUAUAAAAUUUUAUCUUUAGGUGAAAAAGCCUAAAUCAAAUUAAAAGACAAAAAGACCCUGUAGAGCCUUACUUAAAAUAACACUACAAACAUCAAAGUUUCGCCCUGUUUUUAAAGUCUAGAUGGGGCAUCGAAGGGACACCAAAAUAGCCCUUUCUCCAAAAAAAUUCCCGCAUUCCGAUCCGCCAAAGCGAUAAUAGAACCCGGUUACCUCAGGAAUAACAAACUAAUCUUCCUUAAGAGCUCGAAUUAACAGGAAGGCUUGGCACCUCGAUGUUGGCUUAGGAA